AUUGCUCAUGAAUUUGGCAUUACCGGAGAUUUUCCAAGAAUUAUAGCUUACACAGAACAUGAUGCCGAGAAGCCUGAAUUGAAUGGUGAAAUGACCAUAAGCAGUAUUAAGUCCUUUGGGGAGGAUUUUCUUGAAGGCAAGCUUUUGAGCCAGUCGGU